CUCCGGCGACACCGAGUGGCGAACGGGUGCGUAACACGUGAGAAACCAACCCCGAAGUGCGGAAUAACCCCGGGAAACCGGGGCUAAUACCGUAUACCCCUCACCGACCGCAUGGUCGGUGACGGAAAGCUCCGGCGCUUUGGGACGGUCUCGCGGCCUAUCAGCUUGUUGGUGAGGUAACGGCUCACCAAGGCAACGACGGGUAGCUGGUCUGAGAGGACGAUCAGCCACACUGGGACUGAGACACGGCCCAG
rnacentral:rRNA from 1 species